CGAGAUGGAGUUGAGAAAAAUAAUGCUUUUAUUCGCCACCUGGUGGGCGUUCAAAGAAAGCUUAGGUCAGGACUUAUACCAUGAUCAAGGGUCUUUUGAUUUCAGACUCUCGUGGUGUCAAAUUGUAAGUACCAACUUGGUCCAGUAUUUGCGACUUCUUCACGUCGUUUUACUAGUUUAAUUAUUUGGAAUGUAAGCAUUCACUAGAUCGAAUGAUUGCUUUUGUUAUCUUCUCUUAUUAUUUCUGUAUUUGAAUAUUAAAUUACGCUGGGGAUAGUUAAUUAUAAUCAAAUGUACGAUAUUGGGUAAUAUUUUUUUGAUAAGGUUUUUUACAAGUAUGUUUGUCACAUUAACAUUAGGUGUUACAUUUCAUUAUUACAUUCUUUUACGUUACUUGUGUUUUUCUACUCUUUAAUUUCAGAUUUUGAUGGUUGUUUUUAUGAAUUUUGUGUCCCAGAAUAAUUUCCACUGCUUGUAUGUUCCUGAAAUAUGGAAUUUGUAUUAGGUAUUCCCGAUUAGAAUAUUGGUGUCAAAUGUUCUGGUGUUCUCUUCCACUACCUGUCAAAUACAAGCUGAUUGUAGCGAAGACAUUAGUUUGAGUUAAUUUUUAAAAAUUUGUGACCUAAGUUUAUGUCUUGUGCUGGUCACUCAAGUGGUGAACCUCCAUUGAGUUUUCGUAAAGUUUUCUUAUUCUAGUGGAUCUCGAAUUAGAAUAUCCUACUAAUCUCUUCUAUGGUAACACAUUACAUAUGUAUUGUUCUAUAUUAUAUAUAUCAAUUAUAAUAUUUACCUUUGUCAUCAGGAUUUUGAGGUGAAGCUAGGAAAGGAACUUACUACUUAGGGCUCUGUGUAGAGUAAGUAAUUUAGUAUGAAGAGUAAGUAAGAAAGUUAUUUGCAUUCAAUUGAUUGGGUGCAGAUUUAAACCAGAUUUGUUUUACAAUAUUUUUGCUUGUCUUUCAAAGAGUUCAUUAGUGUGGAUUGUGGAAUGCUUGGAUAUGUCUUGAACAGUUUUGGUAUAAUUCCUAUUACAGCAGGUAUGACAGGUUUUUCUGGUUCUAGACUGCUAGAGCAUCUCAAACUAAUGGGUGUAUAUUGGAUUGGUUGACUAGGUUGUUGACAGGUAAAUCAUAGUAAAAACUUAAUAAAUUAAAUGUUAUAAUAUUUGACUGAUGUUUGAUAAUAACAUACAUUGACGAAAUCGCUGCUAGCAGCUGUUAAGACAUAGCACUUGUCAAGGAUUUUUCUACUUGGGCUUUGCAUUUUGUUUCAUAUUGGCGGUAAAUUUUCUUGGGUUCGAAUGUUGCUCAUUAGUAAGGUGGGCAUUAUUUUAUUCGUUUUAUUUUACAUGUGCUUUUUAAUUUAAUUUUACUUUUAUUUAGUAAAGUCCCUGAUUAUCACAAUUUAUUCUACGUUAUUAAGAUCGUAAGAACAUGUUAAUGAAUGUACUAUUUCCUUUUCAGGUAAAUCAUCAGUGAAUAUAGGUCAAUUAGGCGAAUAUUGGUAUAUGCAUUUAUAUCUCCGAUGCAUUUCCUAACCAAGUCAUGGUAACGAUAUUCGUUAACGAAGUCCUUCCCAAAACAUGUAUGAAAUACACGAAGCGAAAUACGGAAAACGGUAGUAAAAAUGUGAAUGUUAAUUAUUGUUUAUCUAUCCCGUUUUCAGUGCUGGAAAAUCUCGUGCUAAACUUUAUGGAUAUAUGUUAGAAACGAAAUUUGUUGAGGCAAAUAACACUAUUGACAAGGUUGAAAGUGAAUCGUAAUAGGAAGUUGCCAUUUAUUUGGGAAAGAAACAUGAAUGCAAGUUGGAAGGGUUUCCGAAGAUUUCUGUUUACUUUUAUUUUACAUCUGUGGUGUUCUAAAGAAAAGCAUAUCUGUAUUUCUCUUGUAUUAUGUGGCAUUGUUUUCUGUUGAUUUUUGAUAAGUUUGUCGUGUCUCUGGAGUUAAUUUCUUCGUCAGAGAAAUUACUUUGCUUUCCGGAAAGGAGGGCUUUGUCAAGCUUUAUGAUAAUAUCUUUGCCAGAGGGUCGUUUAUAAAAGCUUCAUUGGUGAGUAGAUACUUCAACUUGUAUUAAAAUGUACCGGUGUAUUAACUGUGCCUUUGGUGAUAUAUCCGGAGGGCUAUAUCAACCAUUGUAUCCUACGAAUUUUCAUCUCUAAUGUUAUAUGCAAUGUCUGUUAUAUGUGUGGAAAUUCUUAACAAAAAUAAACUUAAUGUACGUUAUAAA